rnacentral:sRNA from 1 species
GCCACCCAACCGCGAACUCACUCGUACGGCAGGAGCGGGGGACCCAGGUAUGCCGCCGGUCCGGGCACGCACCCGGACCGGCUCGGGGUGAAGCCGUGCGCUCAGGCGCACGGCCGGGCACCUCCCAGCCCGAACCCGACAGCUCACCUCGCAGGCGCCGGAGAGGACAUUC